ACCAUAGAUACUUACUCAUCAGAUAGUUGAGGAUAUCCUGGUUAGAUGUUGCCUGGUCACUAGUAUUGAAAAUGGAAAAGAUAUUUAUCAAAUAUCUCAGGAUGCCAGUUCUGUAUCAUCUCUCUCUACCUGCCUUAACUCCUGUCCGCCCACAGUUAGGUAUCCCAUUGGUGGUGACUGCAUGCUUCUGAUAGAUGGUGUAACUAGAGCCGGUUCUGCUGAAGUGCUUUGGCAUCUAGAUGGU